rnacentral:rRNA from 1 species
UUGAUCCUGGCUUCAGGAUUGAACGCUGGCGGCAGGCUUAACACAAUGCAAGUCGAGCGGGGAAAAGGUAGCUUGCUACCUGACCUAGCGGCGGACGGGUGAGUAAUGCUUAGGAAUCUGCCUAUUAGUGGGGGACAACAUUCCGAAAGGAAUGCUAAUACCGCAUACGCCCUACGGGGGAAAGCAGGGGAUCUUCGGACCUUGCGCUAAUAGAUGAGCCUAAGUCAGAUUAGCUAGUUGGUGGGGUAAAGGCCUACCAAGGCGACGAUCUGUAGCGGGUCUGAGAGGAUGAUCCGCCACACUGGGACUGAGACACGGCCCAGACUCCUACGGGAGGCAGCAGUGGGGAAUAUUGGACAAUGGGCGAAAGCCUGAUCCAGCCAUGCCGCGUGUGUGAAGAAGGCCUUUUGGUUGUAAAGCACUUUAAGCGAGGAGGAGGCUACCGAGAUUAAUACUCUUGGAUAGUGGACGUUACCGCAGAAUAAGCAC